rnacentral:rRNA from 1 species
GAUGAACGCUGGCGGCGUGCCUAACACAUGCAAGUCGAACGAACCUGAUCUUCGGAAAGGGUUAGUGGCGCACGGGUGAGUAACACGUAGGUGACCUGCCCCGGAGUGGGGGAUAACUUCUCGAAAGAGAAGCUAAUACCGCAUAGGCUCGAUCAUUCAUUUGGUCGAGUAAAGUUCCGGCGCUUCGGGAGGGGCCUGCGUCCGAUUAGCUAGUUGGUGAGGUAAUGGCUCACCAAGGCUAUGAUCGGUAGCUGGUCUGAGAGGACGAUCAGCCACACUGGCACUGACACACGGGCCAGACUCCUACGGGAGGCAGCAGUGAGGAAUAUUGGUCAAUGGGCGAAAGCCUGAACCAGCAACGCCGCGUGGGGGAUGAAGGCCUUCGGGUCGUAAACCUCUUUUCUGGGAGAAGAGACAAGGACGGUAUCCCAGGAAUAAGUCUCGGCUAACUACGUG